GAUGAACCUGAAUAUCCAUUAUAGAAAAUUCAUCAUUAUGAUUUUAAUAUUUAUAAUAUUAUAAUAAUGGUGUGCAUUUUUUCUAUAAAAGGACAUUGUAAUCUAUUAACAUAAAUUAUAUUUAUCAUAAGAUCAUUUCGCGUAAGUUUAUUCAAAUUAUUUUGCUUGCAAUUUAAUAUCGAAUAAAUGCAUUUGAUUUGAUAAAGUGUUGAUAGAUUUAUUAUAUAUAGUGCUUAAAUAUAUAUACAUAUAUUUUAUAAUAGCAUAUAAAUCAUUGAUUUUUAUGUUUAUUUAUAUGCACUUAUAUGAUUAACAAUGCGAAAGAUUCAGGAUACCUUCGGGACCCGUCUUGAAACACGGACCAAGGAGUCUAACAUAUUUGCAAGUUAUUGGGUAUAAAAACCUAAUAGCGAAAUUAACAUAACUUAUAAUGGGAUUAGUUUUUAGCCUAUUUUUAUAGUCUAUUAAUUCAAUCCCGGGGCGUUCUAUACAGUUAUGUAUAAUAAUAUUUAUAUUAUUUAUACCUCUAACUAGAGCGUACCUUGAGCAUAUAUGCUGUG
rnacentral:rRNA from 1 species